rnacentral:lncRNA from 1 species
GCUGAUUGCCAUCUCUCCUUCAUCUCAACAACCUGUACCACACUCACUGGAGCACUUCGCUUUGCAUCUUUAGUCGACCAGUUCAGAUAUAUACAACCUAUAAGGCCCUGCACUGAUGGAUCCGCUGGUGCCACCCAGAUCAAUAAACUGGCUCAUCUGAUCUUGUGGCCCCCAUCCAGGAACCAACUCAGAGCAAGAAGACAGCUUCAACUCCCUAUGCCUUCAUCUCUGAUACGACCUGUCAACACGCCCCACUCCCUGGCCCCCUACCUGCCAAAUUAUCCUUAAAAAAACUCCCAUCCCUAAAUUUUCCGGGAGAAUGAUUUGAGUAGUUAACUCUGGUCUCUCGUUCUGGCUCUGCAUGAAUUAAACUCUUUCUCUAUUGCAAUUCCUGUCUAGAUAAAUCGGCUCU